AUGGAUGCGCCCCUGCCUCCGCCUGCUUACGCCGAUGGCGAGCAGACGGACUUCGUCCUCAUCGAGAAAUUCGGCUACCUGGUCGACCGCCAAGACGCCACCACCGCCACCUGCGUCCUGCAGGGCCCCGACAUCAAGGGCAGCAUCAAGGUCACAUUUUGCGCCGCCUGCCCUCCGCGCGUCUCCUACUUUUGCGUCCACGCCACCGAGUACGAGCACGCCGACUUCGACCUCCAGCCGACCAUCCUGGCAACGGAGGGCCCUCUCGUCCUCCUCAGCGUCAUGCUCCCCAGUCGAUCCGACAUCUUCCAUCCCGAGAGGAAAGAGUAUUUCGUCUACCAGGCUGCCACCAAGGACCCCGAGGGAAAGGGGAAGAAGGUAAGCCACCCGUCACUCAAGCACCUCCCUAAUCCUGGCCGCCAUCACGAAUUUGAGGAAGCCUCGGCUGCCCUCUUGCGAACCUGCAGCAAGCAUCGCCAAGCCGCCACCAACCAUGACCACUUGCCCCAUCUCCCCCAUGGAGUCACUCUGCGCCCUCGUAGCUCCAGCCACUUGACCCCGCGCCCUCAUAGCUCCAGUGGAUACAUUCUGCAACACCAUGGAGCCAACAAGGAGGAGCACAACUGCGAGGCAUGCCAAUUCGUCAUCGCCGCAAAACGUUCUGCGCGUGUCAGAAGGACACAACAUGAGCUCUGCCUCUAUCACUCAGAGAAGGAGGCCUGGAGCAUCAAGACGGCCAUAGUAUUGGGGAAUGGUCCAUACAAUCACCAUUGGACAGACAAAGCAAUCACCAUUGGAGGAGAUAAUGGUGUGGUCGCAUGGGUCAAUCUUGCUCGCGAUAUUCUCUUCUGUGACGUGCUUGCUGAAACCCCCAUACUUUGCCCCAUCGAACUGCCCCUGCUGAUCCCGGAGAGCGAGGGAGUUGGGAAAGGUGAUCCAAGAUGCAGUCGGGAUGUUGCCAUUGUCGAUGGUUUCAUCCACUACACCCAGCUGCAGAUUCGAAUUGUUCCGGGCUCGUUCACAGAAGAUGGAACCGUCACAUUCGAUGGCUGGAAAGCUACCAAAUGUAGCAUGGCAAUUGACACCCGUUCGUUGCCUGUGGCUGAGAAAUCUUGGCAGCACACGGGCCUCGAGCUCGAUUCCUCGCAGAUUUCAAAGUCACUGCCAAAUCUGCUGGUCGAUGAGGGUACCAUAGCAUUCGAGAGACUACACAUUGGCCUACCCACCCUGAGCCUGAGCCCGCAAGAAGACGACAUUGUUUAUUUCCUCGCCAAGAUCGACUACCGGGACAUGGAACGCACAGCAUAUGUGCUUGCUGUUGACUUGAGAAAGAAGAUGAUAAAGAGCAUUGCUGAGUUUGGAGCCAAAAACACAAUUGGUUUAGGCCAGGCGUAUGUUGCAAGUAGCCUCUCCAAAUAUCUCAAAAUUGCUCCAGGUACAAAGCAAAAGAAGAAACAAAGAGGGAAGACGCCCCUGGGAUCCUCUAGCAAGAAGAAGCAUCCUGGAGGAGUCUCCACCGUAACUUGUCUGAGUGGCUCAGAAGUGGAUUAUAUGGCUUUAGAAUAA
rnacentral:rRNA from 1 species